AUACGGAGGAUCCAAGCGUUAUCCGGAAUCAUUGGGUUUAAAGGGUCCGUAGGUGGAUAAUUAAGUCAGAGGUGAAAGUUUGCGGCUCAACCGUAAAAUUGCCUUUGAUACUGGUUAUCUUGAAUCAUUGUGAAGUGGUUAGAAUAUGUAGUGUAGCGGUGAAAUGCAUAGAUAUUACAUAGAAUACCAAUUGCGAAGGCAGAUCACUAACAAUGUAUUGACACUGAUGGACGAAAGCGUGGGGAGCGAACGGGAUUAGAUACCCCGGUAGUCCACGCCGUAAACGAUCAUCACUCGCUGUUGGCGAUAUACUGUCAGCGGCCAAGCGAAAGUAUUAAGUGAUGCACCUGGGGAUACGCCGGCAACGGUGAAACUCAAAGGAAUUGACGGGGGCCCGCACAAGCGGUGGAGCAUGUGGUUUAAUUCGAAGCAACGCGCAGAACCUUACCAACCCUUGACAUACUCGUCGUCGCUCCAGAGAUGGAGCUUUCAGUUCGG
rnacentral:rRNA from 1 species